rnacentral:lncRNA from 1 species
CUUGCAGGCUCAACAUGACAGCAACAGAGUGAAAAUAUAGGCCCUGUAGAUCAUAUUGACUGAUCCUUUCCCCUCUUAGAAAGAGUAAUUCUGCAAGUGAGUUAAAAGAGCACAGGAUUAGCUCCAAAGAGUCUGAAGUCCUGCAGAGUCUCUGAGGCUAAGGACGCAGAGCAUGGGACUCUUGCGUUUGCUGUCCUCCUCCAGAGCUAAUGAAACAUCAUACAGCCAGACACAUGCUAUAAAUAAUGAAUGGCCAAAAGAGCCAGUUGGAGAUCACUAAGCAUGGGAGGGAUUUAACAGUUAGCUGAGGAUUUAAGAGACCGGCUCUGUCCAAGAGCUACUCUCUCCCCUUCCCUCACGUUUAUCUCUGAAGAUAGAUGUGUGAAGGCUUGCAGGAAGCUCUCACGCUGCAAAGUGAAGGCCAGGUGCUUAAGAACUAAUCAAAAGAUGUGCGCGUACAAUAAACAGGUUGGUGGCUGACGGGGUAGGCUUUCAAGAGGCCUUUCCAAAGCCUUUCUGCUGCAAAAAGCAGAGCGAACAUUUGUCUCACUGACUGUUCCACACUGUUCCAGCAGCCCUGGUUUGCUGAGGACCAGGAGAGCGUCGGCUGGUCUCCCUGCCCAUGGGGGCGUAAGGCACAGUUCCUGCUGCAUAAAGAUUUUGUCUGUGUGAGAGGGUUGGCAGGAGACCUCACCCAGGGAAGGAUGCUUUUGUAAUGUUGGCUUGCAGAGAGCAGAAGCAGCAGGCAGGAGGAUGGGAUACUUAACGGGAAUUGCUGUUGGCAGCACACAGCCUCAGCAAAGCAGCCCAUGGCAGUGGCUGCAGCUCAGUCCAAGGCUCAGCUCUCUGGGGCUGUUAUUUCCAGCCUGUGCAGUGAAGGUCUGACCCCCAGGCUGAUUAAAUCCUUGGGGCUGUGCAUCGGGCUCGUGCUCACAGGUGCUGCCUCUGGUGCCCCUCCAGCACAGGCGGGGGAGCUUGGAGAAAGAGUGACUGAUAAAGCCAGCCACAGAAGUUUGCUUCCCACUGGCCCUCUCCUGCUAGGCAGAGGCCCCUCCACUGCUGGCCUUCUGUCAAAGGGUGUCAGGUGCCUGCUAAUUACAGCUAAUGAGGAACUUAAUUGCCCUGCAGCACAUGGCUGGCUGUUCAGGCUGCUGUGUGGUUGGGGCAGGGGGUUGUCCGUCUGUCUCCUUGCUCUGCUCUGGCCCACACACAUGGUGGGAAGGGGCAGGAGGCUCCCCCUGCCCUCAGUGUGUGGGGCUCUUUGGGGAGGGGUUGUCCCAGACCCACAGCCCCAAGCACGUGCAUUUGCCCUCCUGAUCUGCUGUGCUUGCAUCUGGAGGCUCCUGGAUGUGGUAGCCCUUCCUGCUGGCAUCUGCUCAACUGGGAGGGCUUGUGAAGGCUCCCUGGCAAGGGGCUCAGGACCUCUUAUUUCUGAAAUAAGGUUAUCCAGAUACGAGAGAGCUUCCAGGCAGUUGAAGAAGAGGCAGAGUUUAUGUACAACACUGUCAGCCAUCCGUGAAAAGAGGGAAGUUUCUCCUUGGACCAGGAACUUUUUAAACAGAAGGGAGCUUUCUUCUGAUAUUACACAUGACCACUCUGCUAGGGAAAGAGUAGAGGCCCUCUUAACAAUUUCCAAAAAUCCCACAGAGUUUCAAGAAGUAUGAUCAAAUUGGGAAUACUUGAAAUGAAAUUUCUACUCUGGACCACUGGUACAUGCAUGUAUUUCAACUUCAGAUGCAAGUCCCCACUCAGAUUCAUGUUUGGGAGUUAACAGCAAUGGAGUCAACAAACCAGCAAGCAGAGACCAAUUGUUAGUUGUCAACACUUCCUGGGAUUGACAUUAGAGAUUUUCAAAAGCUGAAAUUAAGGAACAUGUGAUGAUCUCCUCCAGCUCAUUGAAAACUAUUCCAUUUUGACACAAAAUAUAUUGCCUUUCCACUGAGACCCGGUAUCCUCCCUCUCUUCUCCCCUGGCUGCUGUUGUUCUCUAAAAAUAAUGUGAUUUGUUUACUUAGUGAAAAAUUGAAUGUUUCCAAAGACACUGAGACCUUUUUUUUUUGCUUCAUCAAGAGCCCAAAUGUACACUGAAAAUGCUUUGAUGAAAAAAUUUCAAUCAAAUCCAAUUUAAAAAGGAGAAGAGUUAGGGGAGGAAAACACGACUUUUUGUUGUUGUCAUUGAGGCACACAACAGAGUUCCUUAACAUCAUCUGUGGGAACGAAGAGGAAAGUGCCUGCCUUUGAUCUGAAGGGAAUCCUAUAGUUUUCUUGAAUUCUGCCAGCUGCUCCAAUUUUGCACUUCCACUCAGACAAAACCCUACAUUAUGAUUGAGCCUUAAACCAACAUAAACAUUCCUGUGCCCUUUUAGCCUCGCUGUUAGAAGAUGGAGUAUCAGUGGAGCUGAGAAUUUACUGAAUACAUCUAAAUGAAGUGUAGCCUUCCAGAGCUAGAUAGCACCAGCUAGAUAACCCCAUUCAUGUGGAAAUAUGAUGAAGAAGGACAUGGAAGAUUGUAUGACAGGACCGUAGCUGAUAGUCCUUCUUGUGACUUCUGUACUAACUGUGCUGGACAUGUAAGCACCAAAACAUUGGUGAUUGCUAAAUCUGUAAAAACUGCCCCCAGAAAACAGCUAAAAUAUCUGCCCUUCAGUGAGAUAGAAGGGAUUCCUUAUGCCAUAGGUUUUAUCAUGCAAGAACAAAUUAGGAAUAAAUGAAUGAAGAAUAAACUGAAGCAACAGUUAAGAGAAAAUCCUUAACUAUUCAAGCAGCCUGGCUUUGGAAAACUCUGCCAACAGAAGUGGAUGAAGGAGGUGCAAAAUCAGAAGUUUUUGUAGUGAAUCUUCUGGAUUCAGCCCAGAAGAUCCUUUCCUGGACUUUGUAGCCUUAGAGUCUAAAAACUUUGAAACGCUUUUUAACCCUAGAACGUUAUUGCUCUUAGAAAUUAAAUGUUUUCUAAGAGAAUGUGAGAGAGCUCAUAUUGUCUGAAGGUCUCACAGGGAUGCUGAAAGCACUGUCCCUUCAGACAGAGACACUCCCACAGAUCACAAGACAUGGAUGGCAGAUAUUUCUGAGCCUUCCUUCCUGAAUGCAGGGCCAUUGCUUGGGAAGGACCUCAAAGAGUGUCAUGGGCAGCAUCUCAGAAGGGUGCAGGCUCUACAUGCCCAAGGACAACGCUGCUGCUUACACAUCUCCAGCAGCCCAUGCAUGAGCUACUCUUCUCAAGUCAGUGUUUCCAAGGGAGUGGAGCACCUUGGAAGGGCAGGCUGUGGAUGAGAAAGACGACAAGCAGAACAGAGUCUGAGCAGGACAAAGAAAGGGAAAAGGCAGGGAGAAACAAAGGGCUGAAGCAGCAAAAAGAAAAAGGAAAAAAAAAAAUAAAGCCACAGAGUAUAAAUGGGUGAAACAGGCUAAGGGGUGAGAAAGAAUAAGAGGGGGUUGCAGAUAUAUGAAAAAGAAGACUGGCCAGAAAAGUCAGCUGUCAGGCUUGUCCUAGGCAACCUCUGGGCUUGCUGGCAAUGGAAAUUAAUGAAAAUGAUAUCUUUGAGUCAGGACCCAGGGCAGGUACUUGGUAGCUGUUGCUCAUCUGUCUGUGUCCCUGCAGUCUCCUACCUUGCUGCUGUUUCCCCUGUUGAGCAUGAUCCUCCCACUCUCUCGUCCAGCCUCACAAGCCUGACAGAGUAAAUGUUUGGGAAAUUCCUGUUCCUCUUGUUUUGUAGCAUCUGGAGUUAGGGCUGAAUAAAGCCCUUCAGGCUGGGAGGUUUUGGAAGGAAGCCCCACACUCACUGGGCCCUUUGCCAGCGAGUUAAUCCUUGCUGUAUUGACCCUUCUAGAGGCAGCAGUCCCAGGCCACCAAGGAUCUGAUAGCCUUGAACUCUCCGUGCCUGGAACUGUGCUUGCUGCUUCUCAGCGCUGAUCUCUUCCCAGCAAUUUCCUCUGGAGGCCCCAGGCAGCAAAGCAGGGGCAGCACAGAUCAGUGAUAAUCAAUGCUCUGGUGCAAUUGCCAUCGUGUCAGUCAAGACAGGAGACACCAUGCCAUGUGCUUCAGCUGCUUUUGUUUAUGUUGCUGCUGCCUUGCGUGUGUGCAGGCCAGAAACUUUAGGUUUCCCUGUAGACACCCAAGAUACUUUCCCAGGGCCAUUGGAUGUAAACUGCAUAGAUCAUUGCAACAUGCCUUGCCCUGCUCCCCAAGCAUGGAACUAAAACGAAAUUGGGCUUAGGCAGAGCUGAAGGUGCACAGCAGUUAAAUGGUACUCGCUGAGCUGUAUGAGUAAAUGUGUGUGUGUUUGUGGGGGUUAAAUGUACGGUGGACCUGAUCAGGGCAAGUCAGUGCAGUAGGCAAGAGCAUGCAUGCUCUAUGUGUUUUUGUGGGGGGCUUGGGGUCAGUUCCAACAUUUGUAGUAGGUAAAUGGAAGACAGAAUAUUAAUUACCUCUGGCAACGUCUGCAAGUGUCCCAGCUUUCACAAGAAGCUAUUGUAGCUCCAGAUCACUGCAGCUAUUGCAGUAAACUGUACCGCAUGAGAGUAUGGGCUUUAAUACAGGCUUUCUGUGUAAUCUCAAAUUCCAUAAAUAGCUUUUGGUGCCAUAGCACUCCUCCAGCAGCUGUUUGCAAAAAGCUGGAACACUUGUACCAAAACCCGAGGUCAGCUGGAGCUAGCAGCUCUCAGCAUCUUCAGCAAGCAAGGCUCAGUGUCCCAGGCACUGCUUCCCCCAGAACAAGAGGACGCUCCUGCAGCCAUUGUCCAGAAUAGCGACCUGCCUUGGUUCCUCCAUCCUUAAAAUAGGAAUAAGAAGCAAGGACAGAGUCCUUUGGGUGAGUUUUCAGUGCUUAGAUAUAGGCUUCUAGUGUCACACAGGCCUACGAAGACCAGAUGUCCAUGUGCAGGGAACUGACCCCUUCUCCUAAGGUCCAUGAGGUGCUAAGACAUUCCCAUAAGGAACCCCACUGUGGUAAUGUCUAAAUAAAGAUACAUUUUAUAUAGCCAGCCCAGCUGAUUUCUUCUUCACCUGUAGUGUAGACACGUCUCAGGCAGGUUCGCUCUCACUGGCACUUGUAGGAGUAGUGCAGAGAAGCAUCUGCUACCACUUUUUUUUUUUUUUUUUUCACAAAUAAAAGCUGGGCCCAAGGGUUUUUAUGACCUUUAAACAACUCAGUCUUGCUCCUGCAUCCCAGCUGCAGGCAGUCCACCUGGUCAGGGUGUUUGCUUGGGAGGAAGAAGCUGCCUUCUGUAGGAGAUCUGAGAGGCUUUUGUUUCCCCAUUUCUGUAUCAGAUCUGCUGUUUGAGAGCACAUGCAACACCUCCACAAAAUGUAAAAGGGAAAACUACAGCCCCCCACAGAAUGAAUGAGGCUGUAAAUCCAGGGAAAAUCUUCCUGUGUCAUUUACGAGCCUGCACAUCAGAUACUGGCCUCUUGUGCAGAAUUGCUUGGUCCAGACACAUUCCUUCCUCUCCUUCCCCCAGUUAUAGGAGCAGAGAAAAUUUUCUGUGUUGCUGUUCUGGGAAAGGAGAUUGCAAGAAAUAGCAUUUAUGUCCUUAGAUGGUCACACUGAAGAAAUUCUGUUUGUUCUUUGCAGGAAAAACUGGUUAACUAUAAUCUGCUGUCUAGUCAUAGGAAGAAACUCCAUCAUAAUGCUCUGGAUUUAGUAUUUUUAGGACCAAUUCUGCAAACCUAAAGCCUUUCUCUGAUGUGAAUUCCCUGUCUUUCUGGUGUAUGCUGUCCAGGUAACUCCACUAUUUUAGCUUUUCCCAUGAGAUUAUCAAUAAGUAUUUUAUUGCAUAGGGAUACUGUAGUCAGCUUCUGCUGGAAAAGCAAAGUUCAAUAUCAUUCUUAUCUCCAGGUAUUCCUGACUUUAUCUUCCAGACAAAUAUUUAAUAUGUCCAUAAAUGCCUUCUGUGGUUUUUCAGAUAAUGCAG